rnacentral:tRNA from 1 species
GGUAGGGUGGCCGAGAGUUAGGUGGCAGGCUGUAUCCUGCGCAACAUGGGUUUAAAUCCUGUUUCUACC